AUCAGGGUUCUACUUCUCUUUACAUUCCCAUUGUAAAGGCGCUCCGGUCAUAGUGAAAUGUUUUGAAGAAGUCAAACUAUUCUUCGUGCUGUCCUGGUCGCUUGAAGUGCUUGUGUUUGAAGUGACACUUGGCAGUUAUAGUGUGUAGAUGAUUUCAGAAGAACAAGAGUGGUGUGGGUGAAUGAAGGUGAAUUUGGUGACGAUGAUCUGUGACUUCGAAGAAACUAUGACAUUCAAAAAUGUGAAUUUGUGUUCAUUCCUGGAAAUAUUACGACUUAAACUAACCUGCAUACUUAAUGAUUGUUUACCAUUAAAGAGGCGGCGUCAAAAUCGCCUUAGAAGAAUAGGAUCUCACUGAGCCUCUAAUGUGAAGCCCCCAUGUACUUCACGGAUUAUCAUCAACAGAUUCACAGACCCUAUCUGGCAAGAAGAGAGCGGACAUUUUUUUUUUUGUCAAUGCUUUACCUGGCCAUGUCUUCUCAUCAACACAACCACGUGAUGCAAUCCCUUUGACGUAAACAACAAAGUCUGAGUCCCAAAUACCGCCAAGACUUGAGGGUAGUCAACCAUUGGUUGCUUUCCACAAUCAGGUACCACUCCAUCCCCCCCCCCCCAACACGACGAAAAGGUUGCUCUUCAGUCGCCACCUAAGUCAUUUUUAUAGAUCAGUGGUGCAGACCCAGACGACUUCUACGUCUGCCAGGCCAGACGUGUUUGUCUAGACACCCACAUCACGUGUCUUCCUUAGGUUAGCUUCAAAGUAUGACAGACGAGCUUCAGAGAUUCGCCCAAGUUUGAUUUUCUUGACCGGUCUUUACAGCCUCGGGGUCGGCGUGUGCGCAUCUUGACCGGGGAAUUUUGAAGAAAUGUGAAUUCUAGAAUUAGCAGGAAAUAUAUUUCAUCUCUUUCGCGCCAGUUCUGUUGAGUGGCUACAUGUUUCAGAAAUUAAUGCUUUAACUCCAUGUCAUUGAAAGCCCAUGUUUAACAGUGGAGUUCCACACUUUGACAUGAACACUUCAAGUCAUUUCCAAUGAGCUAAACAAUAAGGGAGGAUUGCAUAUCACGCUGUGUGGUUUAUCUCAGAGAUGCACCAUAAACUAUGAUGGUCAAGCUUCAUCAACAACCAUGUUAUCGGGGAACAUCGUAUUUCAGAAAGAAAAAAAAAGAGUCAUUUCCCUUUCAUGCGAAAUCCAUUAUCUUCUUGUUCCGUGCCUCUCGCGUUCCUUACAAACUGGUCCCUGACUUUUGAGUAACAUGGCCAGCAGAAAGAGUGGGCGUCAGAGAAGAUGAAUGAGAGGAGAGGGACGGAAGAGAGAGAGAGAGAAACAUCGGGGAGAAAAUGUCUGGAGCAUGACUCAGGCUUAUUGAUUGGUCAGAGAAUGUCGUGGGCUGGUCACCUGACCUCCUGUCUGGGGGGGAUUUUUUUUCUUUUCCACCAAUCGUAUUCAGUCUUUAAGCCUGAGAUGUUCCCCGCCCUUACCCAUCAACAAAUAGGAGAAGGGGAACCAAAGUGAUGAGGGCGCCAUGUGGUCAUUGCCGAAUCCGCUCCUUGACAACACGCUGACUCAGGCUUUCAGGAUAUGGGCAUAAGGGGGAGCUGGAUGAAACCGGAAGUACCAGGACUGGAAAUCUGUAGUCGCAGAACUAGUACUGCUCACCAAAGACUAUUGCAUUGCUCUAUAGUUUAUAUGUAGGGCUGUGUGUAUCUCAAAAAGUAUGUGGAGUUUGAUGUUGAAUACUGUUGUCGUGUUAGUUUAUGACUGUACAGUGUAUACGAAAGGUACUUAUUAGCUAUUAGUGCUCUAUUCGCCAUGUCGUUAGAUGAGGCAGUAAAUGUAGCAGUCAUGUAUCUGUCUUUAGAGGUCACAUGUAGAUGAUACAUAGUAAGAUAGGUGGAUCUCAAUCUAUUAAUCUUAGCCGUAACCGUGGACAUUUUUAGAUGUACCAUGAUAGGAUUCUUAAAGCAUAUUGCAUAGAAGCCAGUUCGAAUGCUAGUAACUUAUAUCAAGCUUCCCACCCCAUACCACUUUUCGUUAUUAAUUGGGUGGCUGCCUGGUCGUGCGGUAUGCGCUCUGGACUGUCCUUCUCCUUCGGCCAUCAUACCCUGCCCACGUCUACCCUGCGGGAGAUUCGUGCUAGGGUGUAUACGUUCUGAUAUAGUAUGGAAACAUCGGAACUAGGUAAACUAGUUUACAAAUAUUUAGAUCUAUGUAUUCAUUUUAUAGUUUCUGAUUUUUUAAAUUUAUUUACAAUUUUUACCAAUAUUUUCAACGCCAUUAUUUGUAAUACCAUUAAUGACUAUUGACUUUGUGUGUGUGUCUACAUUUUCCUAUCUUCAUGGUACAUUCGAUAACAACUAAGCUUAACAAAAAGCACAUAAUCUGAGCAGUGAUUGUUGUGAUGGAUAGAUUACUUCCCUUAGCACUUCUCCUGCCAAUUCAUGUGAAAAACUGUCACCAAAAUCUGAAUGUGCUACUUCUAGUUUUCACACAUUUCAUUUUAGAAUCGUAGGUCCAUUGGUUUGUGGAUAGUGUUACAACGGAAGUGUCACUCUUAUAUAUAGAAGAUAUAUCUUGAUAUUUUAGCAUUGCAUCAUUAGGGAUAUAGGUUGGUGUUCUAGUCAAUUGUGAACCAUCCUAAUCUUGCAUAAAAACUUAACACGGUAUGCGACACCGUGCAUACAUGUCAGUGCAAUCAGCUUAGUGCGGUCAUAUGACUUACAAAUGAUACUUGUAUCAUUGUUACAUCAAUGCCGGACUUAUCGCAGACAGCAUCCAAUGUGAUAGACUGAGCUGUGUUGUAGUGGUCAAAUAGAAGGGCUGUGAAAGGCUGAGCUGUGUUGUAGUGGUCAAAUAGAAGGGCUGUGAUAGACUGAGCUGUGUUGUAGUGGUCAAAUAGAAGGUCUGUGAAAGACUGAGCUGUGUUAUAGUGGUCAAAUAGAAGGGCUGUGAAAGACUGAGCUGUGUUAUAGUGGUCAAAUAGAAGGGCUGUGAAAGACUGAGCUGUGUUAUAGUGGUCAAAUAGAAGGGCUGUGAUCGUUAUAAAGAAGCAUCAUUUAUUUUUAGCAUUGAAUUUGUGAUGUGUCUUAGUCUUAUAUAGAAAUAACAAUAUAUACUGUUCUGUGACGGUUGUAUAUUAUCUGCAUAUAAUUAGUUACAAGCUUCUAACAUCAUAUGUAUACCUGGAACACUAAAUACAAGCUUAGAAGAUUAUAUGCAGUCUUGGAAGAUUAUAUGCAGGCCUGGAAGAUUCUACACAAACCUGGAAGAUUAUAUACAGACAUGGAAGAUUUUAUGCAGGCCUGGGCAAUUAAAAAGAUGCCUGGAAGAUUUCAUGCAGGCUUGAAGAUUAUUUGAAGGCCUGGGCGAUUGUAUGCAGGCAUGGAAGAAUGUAUACAGGUCAAGAAGGUUUAUACAGACCAUGAAUAUUAUAUACAGGCCAAGAAGAUCGUAUACAGGCCUGGAGAAUUAUAUGCAAGCCUGGAAGAAUUAUACAGACAUUGAAUAUUAUAUACAUGCCUGGAGAAUUAUAUGCAAGCCUGGAAAAUCAUAUGCUGGACUAGAAGAUUGUAUUCAGGCCUUGAAUAGUGUCCUCAGGCCAGGAAGAUUGUAUACAGGCCUGGAAGAUUGUAUGCUGGACUAGAAGAUUAAAUACAGGCAUUGAAUAGUGUCCGCAGGCCUAGAAGAUUGUAACUUGUUUUCAACGUUUUACUAAAUGUAUUUAUUUGUGCAGAGGCGUAUCAUGUCUGCGUGACGUAAAAGAGAUAAGAAGAUGGGGGUCAAAUUGGUCCCAAAUGUUCAACUAUUGUCAGGAAAUUUCAAUUUAAAUUAAUACCAUUUAGAAGAUUUGUUUAAAGUGCCUAAAUGGUAUUUACAAAAUAAUUUAACCCCUCCCCCACCCCCAGGUUAAAUAAGAUUGCUACACCUCUGACCAAAUAUUACGUCAUUAAGAAGAAGUAAAGGGGAGGUAAGAGAGGGAACUCUGCGCUGCUAACAUAGUGUCACCCGUGUCUGCCACACAGCUAAUCAGACCAAUCUGGACAUAAACCAGCGCGCGAGCGCGGUGGAGCUGAACGAACAGUUGUGGGCCACACAUUUUUUUUUUUGGUUGCUGUUGUUGUUGAUGUUAGCCUCGUGUGAUGCUGCACCGCCAACUGUGACACAGAACCAAAGGUUGUGGAAAAAAAUCAGCAGACGCCAACACUGGUUUGACCUUGACCAGUAGCGUAGAUUUCCUUUCUUGCUCAUCGUGUAACAAUCAUAUCCCCUCGUCUGCAAUCAUAUCCUAUGGACAACAUUCGUCAUGUGUACAGUUCUCAAUCAUGUGUACAGUGUACAGUUGUAUAUAUUUGUGCCUAAAAUCCUCUAGGUUUUUUAAAUCACUGUCUUAAGUUUAUUUAUUUUGAGUAUGGUUUUUAAAAACAAAAUUGUGUUUCCAGUUUUUAAGUUUUUUUUAUUAUCCAGUUUUAAGUUUAUUUAUUUUUAUUUUCGAAUGUUCUGUUCAUGACAACAUCUCACGAUGUCUUUCCACGUUUGUAAAUAAACUGAUUUUUUAAGUUAAAAAAAAACCAAGAACAUCUGUACAUUCCCAUAUUUCAUACAUUCUAUCUAAGCUUAUAGUGUAAGUUCUACAAGAUUCUGGACACGCUCCAACACAGGGUUCCCACUCUGGUCUAUGUGGCUCGUUCGAGAUCUUCCAGGACGUUGUUUUCCUAAUUUUUUGUUAACUUGCGGAAAAAAAGAUAAAAGAAAGUAUUUAAAAAAAUUAUUUUCAUUUUGACGUUUUUUUAAAUCAAAAGAAAUUCCUGGGCGUUAUGUGAAUAAACUUUCUUGACAUGUAAUAAUUAUUUUGUAAAUGUUCAAACAGUGUAUCUAUAGAGCUGACGUGGUUGAGCUUAGGUAUAUUUAGACUUUGUCUUAUGACACUUUUUUCAGAUGAAAUUAUGGGAUAUUCACAUUCUGAAACCGGAGCUAAAAACAACAACACAUGUUUCCAAGCGAUGUAACGUGUUCAUGGGUUGCUGUACGUGUGGUUGUAGAGUGGUUGCAGGCUAGUGAUGGUCUGAGUCUACAACUAUAAAGGGUUAGGUCUUUUUAAGAAAAGUUUUGGGACAUAGAAAGGUUGGCCAACAUUAAGAAAGCGGUGAAGCCACCACAAAUAGGUAGAUGAACAAACAGGUUGCGCAACAAAAAAAAAGUCGUUCAGACACAAUUAAUAGGGAAACAACAAAAGGACUAAGUCGCAAUUAAAAAACAAAAUCAACGUUGGAGCCUCCAAACAUGGUCUACUUCAGUGUUGUCUAUGAACAUACGCUUAUAACUGUUACAGACAUGUUCGUGUUGAGUUUGUUCUAAAGAUGAAUGCAUUGAACUAUUCAUGCAGUCUUAUUGUCAACUUCCACUCAGGGAUUCAUUCUUUGAUAGAGCGCUUUAAAAUACUUUAUGCUUCAUUAGUAAUCCAACAUGUAGCAUUGAAUCUGUAAGUGUUCGAACAGCUCCCCCUCCACUCCUAACCAAUGCAACGACUUCCAGAGAGUUGUAUCUGUCAUUGUAGUCAUGUCAAGUAGGCUUCUUCAUGUGCACUGCUAGAGUUCAGUAACAACCUUUUUUUUAGCAAUACAAAUAAUCAGAACUGAGACUCAUUAUAAUCAUAUGUAGUGUGAAGACUUAAUUGUUAUCAACAUUCACCAUAACAAACUCAUUCAAACUAGCAAUAGAGUUAUCUCACCUUUUACUCCUUGAGCUCCAAGAUUUUUGCUUUAAAGGAUCUGGUCAUCAAAUUUUGUUUCUUUUACCGAUAGGCUCAGUUCAAAUCUCUAUAGACAAUGUGACAACCAAAAUAGCAAUGUUGUAAAAAUUGAAAAUAAAGCACUUUUAAUAAAUCUAGCCAGUGAAGCUUUAAAAAUACAAAGGCACUAAGAAAGCGCCAACUUUGUAUUUAUAUAAGUCCAAAGUUUGCUUCAAAGAAAUAGAAUCCUAUGGCUAGUUGCCAGUUCAACUACAGCUAGUAUCUGUUUUAAUAUGGUGCACAUAAAUAUGUAGAUCAUUCCUCGAAUUUUUUUUAUUUUAUUUUUGGUCCUUAUGUUUGUAUUGUUUUCUUAAUGAAUCUUAUUUAAUUAGAUUACUUCAUCAAUAAGAUUUGUGACAGACUUCAUCAAUAAGAUUUGUGACAGACUUCAUUGUUAAGAUCAUAUAUAAAGAUAUAUUUAUAGAUUUCCGUUUGUAGUACAGUUGUAGAUAAUAACAACAGUCCAUAAUGUAUAAAAUGCAUUUUUUAUAUAAAUCUCUUGGUGAACAUCUUUCUGGCUAGAUUGUGCCAUUUUUUUUUAUUUAUUUACCUAGAGAUUUAGUCUCUAUAUUUAUAAUUAUAUGUCAUGAAAUGACUACAUAAAAGUAUGUCAUGUAAAACUUUAAUGCGAAAUAAACUUUCUGAAACAAACAAA
rnacentral:sRNA from 1 species